rnacentral:piRNA from 1 species
UUGUAGAUGGUCGCAGGGUAU